GCAGGAUCAACCAGGUAGCACUCCUCGUUCGACACCGGCACGCAUGAGCCAUCUCCUUUGAAGAAGAAGGUCAACUCGUACGCGGAAGUCGUCCGUGCUUAGCGUAAAACGCUGAAUUGGGCAUGCGACGAAUCAACGUCCAUUCCCUCUCAACAUUCUGCAUCCCGGGGCACAACUAGAGACCGUACACCUGACCAUCAACGCCUUGUUUUAGUCGUCGAGGUUGGGGGACGGAUCCAGCUACAAUGGUCCACCGAACACCCGGAAGGAUGUCUGGCGGAAACAAAUGAUUUAGGAAAACAAUACCGUCAGUAGGAAUGAAACACAGAAAACCUUACCUCGCCCAAGGCUUAUAGCACUUGGAGCAAACACUGAAGAGGUUUAUCAGCGUGCGGUUCGAUGCACCAGCAUGGAGCCCGCCAGCCAAAAAAACCAAUCACCACUCCACACGUGA
rnacentral:misc_RNA from 1 species